rnacentral:rRNA from 1 species
UACGGAGGGUGCAAGCGUUAUCCGGAUUCACUGGGUUUAAAGGGCGCGUAGGCGGUUCGCUAAGUUGAAUGUGAAAACUCUGGGCUUAACCCAGAGCCUGCAUUCAAUACUGGCGGGCUAGAGUUCUGGAGGGGAUAGCGGAAUUCCUGGUGUAGCGGUGAAAUGCGUAGAUAUCAGGAGGAACACCGGUGGCGAAGGCGGCAUCCUGGACCGGCAUUGACGCUGAGGUGCGAAAGCGUGGGGAGCAAACAGG